rnacentral:tRNA from 1 species
AGGAGUGUAGCUCAAUUGGUAGAGUACGGCGCUCCAAACGCCGGGGUUGGGGGUUCGAGUCCCUCCACUCCUGCCA